rnacentral:rRNA from 1 species
GACGGAGGGUGCUAGCGUUGUUCGGAAUGACUGGGCGUAAAGGGCGCGUAGGCGGCCGCUUGCGUCGGAUGUGAAAGCCCGGAGCUUAACUCCGGAACUGCCUUUAAAACUGCAUCGCUAGAAUCGUGGAGAGGUGAGUGGAAUUCCGAGUGUAGAGGUGAAAUUCGUAGAUAUUCGGAAGAACACCAGUGGCGAAGGCGACUCACUGGACACGUAUUGACGCUGAGGUGCGAAAGCGUGGGGAGCAAACAGG